AAAUCUCAACCUUCUCGGUUUUCUUCUGGACACCGAAGGAGGCUUGGACUUUGGAGGCCUUUGCUGGCGUCUCUCUUCUUGAGAGCCAGCUCCUCUUAAAUGAAUUAGCGGGGUCCUCUUUGCCGAUCCUCGACAUGUGAUAAGAUGUUUCCAUGACUUGGUUUCUGGCUCUGUUGCCUUUGGGACCCGCUUCUAACCGUCUCGACGAGACAAUGUUUGGGCGUGUCUCCCUUCUCGGGAGACUCUCUCGACCCCACGAAC
rnacentral:misc_RNA from 1 species